rfam:Bombyx mori DNA, contig: Bm_scaf192_contig41341, strain: p50T/Dazao, build 2, whole genome shotgun sequence.
UUAACUAAAAUCUGUAUGAAGUCGGAACGUUAUCUACAUUUGUCGCUAGGGGCGCUGUUCCAACUGCAUACAAAUUUGAGUUA